GAUGAACGCUGGCGGCGUGCCUAAUACAUGCAAGUCGAGCGAACAGAUGAGGAGCUUGCUCCUCUGACGUUAGCUGCGGACGGGUUAGUAACACGUGGAUAACCUACCUAUAAGACUGGGAUAACUUCGGGAAACCGGAGCUAAUACCGGAUAAUAUAUUGAACCGCAUGGUUCAAUAGUGAAAGACGGUUUUGCUGUCACUUAUAGAUGGAUCCGCGCCGCAUUAGCUAGUUGGUAAGGUAACGGCUUACCAAGGCAACGAUGCGUAGCCGACCUGAGAGGGUGAUCGGCCACACUGGAACAGAGACACGGUCCAGACUCCUACGGGAGGCAGCAGUAGGGAAUCUUCCGCAAUGGGCGAAAGCAUGACGGAGCAACGCCGCGUGAGUGAUGAAGGUCUUCGGAUCGUAAAACUCUGUUAUUAGGGAAGAACAAAUGUGUAAGUAACUAUGCACGUCUUGACGGUACCUAAUCAGAAAGCCACGGCUAACUACGUG
rnacentral:rRNA from 1 species